rnacentral:rRNA from 1 species
AUGGGCCUCAUGGCCGGGAUGCUCCCUGGCGUCGAGUUCGCGAGGAGGCGACGGCUCCGGCCGGCGCCGGAGGCCCCGUGCGCCGGCGCGCGGCGGCCGGCGUUGAUGGGCGUGUUCGGGCAUGACCACGCCCACCUCGGCUCGGCAGGUUUUGCGAAGCAGAGGAGCGGCGUGUGCGAGGAGGCGUGGGCGACGCAGCUGGACAGCAUCGCCCGGGAGGCCAAGGAGAGGCUGGAUCACAAGCUCAGGAGCCAGAGAGAAUCUGUGGUCAAGAGGCGCCACAGCACGGGAAGCCUCCGGCUCCCGGUCCCGUCGAGCACCACCAGCGACCACCCGGCGAAGGACACGGCAGGGGCGGCGAGCACGCUGCAGCGAGAGGUGUUCACGAAGAGAGGCGGCGGCCGGCGGUUCAGCUGGGGCCGGAGGAAGGAGCAGCAGCAGCAGGCGGAGUGCGCGGUGUGCCUGGAGGAGUUCCGGGCGGGGGACGUGCUGGCGCACCUCCCCUGCGCGCACCGCUUCCACUGGGCCUGCGCCGUGCCCUGGGUCCAGGCCGCCUCCCGCUGCCCCUUCUGCCGCGCCGCCGUCCGCCUCGCCGACCACCAGCUUCUCUAG